rnacentral:misc_RNA from 1 species
GAUGAAGAACGUAGUGAAAUGCGAUAAGUAGUGUGAAUUGCAGAAUUCAGUGAAUCAUCGAAUCUUUGAACGCACAUUGCGCCCCUUGGUAUCCCGAGGGGCAUGCCUGAUCGAGCGUCAUUUCACCACUCAAGCCUGGCUUGGUGUUGGGCGACGUCCUCUUUGGGGACGCGCCUCGAAACGCUCGGCGGCGUGGCACCGGCUUUAAGCGUAGCAGAAUCUUUCGCUUUGGAAGUCGGGGCCCCGUCUGCCGGAAGACCUGCUCGCAAGGUUGACCUCGGAUCAGGCAGGGAUACCCGCUGAACUUAAGCAUAUCAAUAAGCGGAGGA